rnacentral:tRNA from 2 species
GCGACUGUGGCCCAGUGGACAAAGGCGGGUGCCUGCAAAGCACUUAUUUUUUUAUCGUUGGUUCAAAUCCAACCAGUCGCUCCA